rnacentral:misc_RNA from 1 species
CAAGUGCCGUGCUUCCGCUUGUUGUUGUUCGUUCUUGGUUAUCCUUUAUAAUUGCCGUCCAUCGCCGCUCCCGCGCUUCCUGUCUUAACCUUUUCUUUUUGUUUUCUCUCUGCCAACGUUACGUCGCUCCGCGCAUGUCACAGUCGCUCAGUCGCAGCGGCAGCCAGAGAGGCGUCGCCACUCGAAGCGCGUCGCGCAGUGCUUCUGGCAGCCGCAGUGGCAGCCGCAGCAGCUCCAACUCGAUGCGGCUGCCGGAACCCACCGCGGCAUCGGCCACCGUUGCCGAGCCUGCAGCCGUACCUGCUGCUGCGGAGACCCCGGCCGACGAUGUGGGACAGCCGCAUGAGCCGGAGAAGGAGGUGGCGUCGAUCUUCAUUGGCAUGGGUCCCGCUGGCCGUACCGUGACCUUGACGGAGCUGACGGAAUACCUCAAGUCGAAGGCGAUGGACCCGGCGAACGUGAAGGAUGUUCGCCUUCGCGGCCGCUGCGCGUUCGCGGAUACGACGACAGUAGAGGAGGCGCGCCACCUGAUCGCACAGCUGGACAACCACGACUACAAGGGCAAGUUCCGUCUGGCGGUGCAGAUGAGCAAGCAGACCAUGGCCGAGGCGAAGGAGAACAAGCGCAAGCGCCAGGAGGCGCGCGGCACCAAGCAGGGGGAAGAAGGCAACUACGUGAACGAAGGCCGUCAGGUUUUUGUGAACCUCGGCCCUGCCGGCAAGGACAUCCCCAACGAGGCCAUUCGCAGCAAGAUUGAGGCCAUCUGCCCGGUUCUGCGUUUCGAGCGCCGUGGCUACUGCAUGUACGCCGAUGUGCCCACCGCCGAGGAUACGAGGCGGGUGGUGGCAGCGCUGAACAACAUGAUGAUUGGCGAGGUGCGCGUGCUGGUGCAGAUCAGCACCUUGGUCCGCAAGCGUGAGCGCUCGCCGCAGCGCGUUCGCGAUGCUCCUCGCCGCGGAGGUGACCGUCACGAACGCGACUCGCACCACCAUCGCCGCCGCAGCGACAGCCGCGAGGGUCGCCGCCGUCACCACCGCUCGCGUCGCAGUUACACGCCGUCGUCGCGCAGUACCUCUUCCUACUCAUCCCGCAGCCGCUCGCACAGCCGCGGUCGCCGCAGCUACUCUCCCGACUCUGAGGACUCUCGCGACCGCCGCAGCCGGCGCGGAGGCUACCAUGGCAGCGACCGCCGUCGUGGCCGUACCGAACGCGGCGGUGACCGUCGCGAGCGCCGCGGCGACGAGCGCCGCACACGUCGUUGAUAGCCUCCGCAAACCUCGCCUUGGACAUGCAAGCAAGGCGAGGUUUUCAAGCGACACGAGACCAGGCAGGAAAAAAAAUGGAGGUUAAGUGGAGGGGAGACUGGGUGAGGUUAGGCCUAACGCCAGCAAUGACAUGAGGCGUGGGCCACUGCAGAUUGUGGCCGUAUCGUUCGGUGCCCCAACCCCUCGCAUCUCCGUCUCUUCGCCUGUUUUUAUUCGUUUUUCCUUUUCGUUUUUUUUUUCCUUUUGUUUUCCUUUCGUGUGUGUGUGCACGUUGAAGCCGCGGUUGGUGUCGAACCGCGGUUGGUGUCGCCCCUCCCCUCCCCUCUUCUCCUCACCUCUCCUCUCGCGUCUCUCUUGUCGUGUGUCCUGCCGGUCUUGCGCUGCGGCACUGCCAUCUUUCCCCUCUCUUUUGUCUCUUUAAAGUUUUCUACAUAUCUAUGAUCAUUUCUUUUUCUGUUUUCACGCUCUGAUCGCGCUACGCAUAUCUCACUCGCGCUGCAUGGGCUCUCCCCCCUUCCCCACACCCGUUGGGUGUCUAUCGGUGUGCCCCUUUAGAAGGACAGGCCUCAUGAGUUCUUUGUGCGCAGGCACAAGUCUCUCCGCGGGCCUCUUCUGCUUGACAUGCUCGCUCCUGCCAAAGGCCUGCGGGCUCAGGAGAAAACGGAAUGCCCCUGCUGCCACAGACUCAUGGCGGCGCCCCAUGUGUCGCGGCACAUGCGGGCGAGCCAUCCGGGCGCGCCCCCCGCGACAUCGACGGAAAUGGAGGACGAUGACAGCGAUCCCCCCAGGCAGCAACGCCGUCCUGGGGCAGAACCGAAGAUCCGAAAAUGCGAGCACUGCGCGCAGACGCUGCAUAGCAUAGCUGGCAUGGUGCAUCACAUCCGAGAAAGGCGUGCAGCAGCCCGAAGAGCACGAGCGAUGGACGAGAACGGCGCAAAGAGAUGCACACCGACCAACUCCACAGCGCAUGCGCGCGACAUGUGCGGCGUCUCCUGCAUCCGGCUGGGUGGGCUGGCGCAGCACAGAUGCCGAAAACAUGACGAGAGCGCCGCGUACGGCACCACGGAGUUCUCCAGACUCCGCUGUGGAGAGUCUCCACACCACAUUAUGGAAUGCUGCGGCUGGAGGCGACCGAGGGCGAAGCACGGCGUGCAGGCGGGGGGCCUCUGAGGGCCCUGGCCUGAGGCUGGCGGACUUCCUCCUCGAGCGCAUGCGGCAUGCACCUAGACCACCCCCUAUUACCUGCACGACAGCCGCCACCGCCCUGGGGCAGGACCCUGGGCGCGGCCCGCCUGAAUCCAGGCGUGCAGUCCACGGGAGUGUCGGUCUGGCGCCGAUGACGGGGCAUUUAUGAGAAGGGACGGGGAGAGACAAGCAGAGCCGGUGGGACGCAUGGCCUCGACGGCGGAACGGCUUGUCCUCCACGACCAGGAUUCAGCCGUAGUGCGACAGAGGUUGAUGGAGUGUAGCUGUAUGCGCAUAUAUGUGUUGACUUGUUCGUGGUAUAGGAUGUCAGGCUGAGCGAAGUGGCACUUUCUGUAUUUCACGUGUAUUGUUUUCUUAGCUAUUAAUAUGCUAAUGUGGUUGUUUGUAUGUGUACGUGUCUGGGGGAGGUGUGUGUGCGGGUAGGGGGAGGGGGUCGAUGAUGUUGGUGGCGCUGGUGCGGGCAUGGCUACCGGCGAAUACCUAUCCUCCCUCUCUCUGUCGCUCUCUCUCUGUGUUGGUCUGCAUGUGUCGAUCUGUCCUGACUGUGUUUUCGUCUUCUCCCCCUGUUUCGGCCUUUAACGUAUAUAUAUAUAUAUAUAUAUAUAUAUAGAGCAACGUUUCUCUCUUCCCCCCUUCUCUGUCUCUCUGUCUUCUUUAGCAUGCCCUACUCGCUGUGGUGGUGGCGGCGAUGUUCGUUGGUUCAGUUGUCGGUGACUGUUUUUUUUUUUUUUUGUGCACCCGGACGUGCAUGGUGGGCGUGUUUGUGUGGGGAGGGGGCGGCGUCUGUGGCUGUGGUAGUGGUGAUGGUGUCUGGGGUGUGUUGUGUGCCCUCCUCGUUGGUGCUCGCAGAUGCGUUCUUCCCCUUCUCUUUCAGUCCUAUUACCCCUGCUGCUGCUGCUGCGGCGGUGGCAUCUCGAAGGAAGGAGAUUGACAAGGGGGAGGGAUGAAGGGUCGACGAGUGAGGCAUUCCCUACGCCUCACGUGUUGUGUGCUGUGUGCGAUGUUGUCUGUCUGCGCAUGCCUGGGUGCUGUGUACGGUAACACGUAAGUUAG